AUGUUGGACUGCGGAUUGACUGACUUAGGAUUUUCCGGUCCUAAGUUCACGUGGUGUAACAGACAGGACCCCAACAGUAAUGUUCACUGUCGCUUGGAUCGAGCCAUGGCAAACAGUGACUUCUCCAACUUGUUUGAGGCUUGCAAUGUGGAGAAUAUUAUCGCCACCACAUCUGACCACUAUCCGGUUCUUGUUCGUCUACAGGAAGAUUCUCACAUGCACCGUACGAUCCCAGUGCAGCAAGGUUUCAGGUUUGAGGCCAUGUGGCUGCGUGCGGCUGACUACCGUGAAACUCUUGAGCAGGCUUGGUCGGCGGGCAGAGAUGGCUUGUCGACUUUGAGCUCGACCUGGACGAACCUCAAGGGGGUGGCUAGCUCUCUGCGCUCCUGGAGCAAGGAGGCCUUCGGUUCUAUUCGUAAGAAUAUAGGCAAGAUGGAACGCCGCCUUGCUACCAUUAGGGCGUCACCGCCCUCCCUGUCUUCGCUUGCUGAGGAGAAACAUAUUGAAGGUCAGUUAUGCGAGCUGUUUGAGCGUGAAGAGGUUAUGGAGAGGCAGCGGUCUCGAGUGGACUGGCUCAAAGCCGGUGACCGUAACACGGGGUUUUUCCAAGCCCGUGCGACGGCCAGGCGGAGAACAAAUAAAAUCCACUCUUUCCUUCGGGAUGAUGGCUCGGUUUGUUCUACUCAAAGUCAGAUAAAACAGUUAGUGCAGGCCUAUUAUGAGUAGCUCUUCAUGUCCAAGCCACGCACGACUGCUGAUGAGCUUCUGCAGGCGAUCCCGAGUAAAGUUUUCAGUGAAAUGAAUGCUGAGUUGUGCAGGACGUAUACUAAUGAGGAAAUUAGGGCUGCCUUGUUUCAGAUGGGGCCGACCAAGGCACCAGGUCCGGAUGGUUUCCCGGCUCUCUUCUACCAAACUCACUGGGAGUUCUUGGGUGAUGAAAUUUGUCAUGCGGUUCGUGGCUUUCUGGAGGGAAGGCCAAUCCCUGAAGGUUUCUGCGAUUCGGUUAUUGUCUUGAUCCCAAAGACUUCCAAACCAAAACUGUUGAAGAACUUCCGUCCUAUCAGUCUGUGCAAUGUUCUUUACAAGAUUGCUUCCAAAGUUCUUGCCAAUCGCCUGAAAUCUAUUCUGCCUGUGGUGGUCUCGGAGAGUCGGAGUGCCUUUGUUCCUAGCAGGUUGAUCAUGGAUAACACCCUUAUUGCUUAUGAGUGCCUUCACACCAUCCGGAAUCAACGUCUGAAGAAACCCUUCUUUGCCCUAAAGAUCGAUAUGAUGAAGGCCUAUGAUCGUGUGGAGUGGAGCUAUCUGCACUAG
rnacentral:rRNA from 1 species